rfam:Gallaecimonas xiamenensis 3-C-1 contig19, whole genome shotgun sequence.
CUUUGGUGGUGGUGGCAUUCCUGGCGUCAGGCGGGCUAGCUGCACCUUGUUGUUUGUGAACCAAACAUCCAGAGCCCGCUGAGAAAGCGGGCUUUUUUAU